UCCCUGAUAGUAUAUUGGUUAGUACACGCGCCUGUCGCACUUCUUGUGUAAUAUCGCGCGAAAGCAGGGUUCGAUUCCCUGUCAAAGAG